UACGUAGGGUGCGAGCGUUACUCGGAAUUACUGGGCGUAAAGCGUGCGCAGGCGGUUCGUUAAGUCCGAUGUGAAAGCCCCGGGCUCAACCUGGGAACUGCAUUUGAAACUACGAGGCUAGAGUGUGUCAGAGGGGGGUAGAAUUCCACGUGUAGCAGUGAAAUGCGUAGAGAUGUGGAGGAAUACCGAUGGCGAAGGCAGCCCCCUGGGAUAACACUGACGCUCAUGCACGAAAGCGUGGGGAGCAAACAGG
rnacentral:rRNA from 1 species